UACGUAGGGCGCAAGCGUUGUCCGGAAUUAUUGGGCGUAAAGAGCUCGUAGGCGGCUUGUCGCGUCGGAUGUGAAAGCCCCGGGGCUUAACUCCGGGUCUGCAUUCGAUACGGGCAGGCUAGAGUUCGGUAGGGGAGAUCGGAAUUCCAGGUGUAGCGGUGAAAUGCGUAGAUAUCUGGAGGAAUACCGGUGGCGAAGGCGGCAUCCUGGACCAUUACUGACGCUGAGGCGCGAAAGCUAGGGGAGCAAACGGGG
rnacentral:rRNA from 1 species